rnacentral:rRNA from 1 species
UACGUAGGGUGCGAGCGUUGUCCGGAAUUAUUGGGCAUAAAGAGCUCGUAGGCGGCUUGUCGCGUCGGAUGUGAAAGCCCGGGGCUUAACUCCGGGUCUGCAUUCGAUACGGGCAGGCUAGAGUUCGGUAGGGGAGAUCGGAAUUCCUGGUGUAGCGGUGAAAUGCGCAGAUAUCAGGAGGAACACCGGUGGCGAAGGCGGAUCUCUGGGCCGAUACUGACGCUGAGGAGCGAAAGCGUGGGGAGCGAACAGG